GACGAACGCUGGCGGCGUGCUUAACACAUGCAAGUCGAACGGAAAGGCCCCUUCCGGGGUACUCGAGUGGCGAACGGGUGAGUAACACGUGAGUAACCUGCCCUUGACUUCGGGAUAACUUCAGGAAACUGGGGCUAAUACCGGAUAGGAAUCCUUGCUGCAUGGUGGGGGUUGGAAAGCUUCGGCGGUUUUGGAUGGACUCGCGGCUUAUCAGCUUGUUGGUGGGGUAGUGGCUUACCAAGGCUUUGACGGGUAGCCGGCCUGAGAGGGCGAACGGCCACAGUGGGACUGAGAUACGGCCCAGACUCCUACGGGAGGCAGCAGUGGGGAAUAUUGCACAAUGGGCGGAAGCCUGAUGCAGCAACGCCGCGUGCGGGAUGACGGCCUUCGGGUUGUAAACCGCUUUCAGCAGGGGCGAAGCUUGUGGUGACGGUACCUGCAGAAGAAGCACCGGCUAACUACGUG
rnacentral:rRNA from 1 species